UACGAAGGGUGCAAGCGUUGCUCGGAAUUAUUGGGCGUAAAGGGUAGGUAGGUGGUAAUAAAAGUCUGGGGUGAAAUCCCUGAGCUCAACUCAGGACGUGCCUUGGAAACUUUAUUACUAGAGUGCUGGAGAGGUUUGCAGAAUUCCCGGUGUAGCGGUGAAAUGCGUAGAGAUCGGGAGGAAUACCAGAGGCGAAGGCGGCAAACUGGACAGUAACUGACACUCAACUACGAAAGCGUGGGUAGCAAAC
rnacentral:rRNA from 1 species